UGUGUGUGUGUGUCCCAUUCUAUGAUUUUCUCACUGAACCUGCAGUCAGGCUGGCAUCCAGCAAGCCUGAUUCAUCCUUCUGUCUCCACCUUCUACUCUCCACCACAGAGCUGUUCAUACAGCAAGAAAGCAUUUGGACACUCGACUUUUUAUAUGAGGGCAGAUGUCUGAACUAAGUUCCUCUUACGUGCAUAGCAAGGACUCCUAACCAAUGAGUCACCUCUCCAGCCAGGAAGCAAGAUCCCAAAUCUAGUUUUUGUGUGCUGAGGAUCACUGUCUGCUUAUCUUUG
rnacentral:lncRNA from 1 species